rnacentral:siRNA from 1 species
AAACCGCAACCUGAUCUUAAAAGC